UACGGGGGGGGCAAGCGUUGUUCGGAUUUACUGGGCGUAAAGGGCGCGUAGGCGGCCACCGCAAGUCGGUUGUGAAAUCUCUGGGCUUAACCCAGAAAGGUCAACCGAUACUGCGGGGCUAGAGUGCAGAAGGGGCAACUGGAAUUCUCGGUGUAGCGGUGAAAUGCGUAGAUAUCGAGAGGAACACCUGCGGCGAAGGCGGGUUGCUGGGCUGACACGUGACGCUGAAGCGCGAAAGCUAGGGGAGCGAACGGG
rnacentral:rRNA from 1 species